CAAGGCGUAGCUAUAAGACAAAGCGUUCAGCUUACACCUGAGAGAUAUCUACCACCCACCUAGAUCGCCCUGA
rnacentral:tRNA from 1 species